rnacentral:lncRNA from 10 species
GAGUGAGGAGGGCGGGGAGACAGCUGGCAUAGACACCUCUUCCUGCCCUCCAACCUGCUUCUCCCUGUUUCAGACUUUUAUUAUGUAGCCAUGGAUUUCGGAGGUCAUGGGCUUUCGUCCCAUUACCGCCCAGGUGUCCCAUAUUACCACCAGACUUUUGUGAAUGAGAUCCGAAGAGUUGUGGCAGGUAAGAAGCAGUGUAUUUUUCGGCACGAGGUUGCUCUGGGACACCCCCUCUUAGCAUUGGAGUCGGGGUAGGAUCCAGGAAGCUGCACUGGCCUGGGAGUGGGGCCUGGGCUCUGGCCCCAGGUCUGCUAGCAAUUCACGGGAGAUCUUAGGAAAGUUGAAGAGUUUGCUUCCUCCUGUGGGUCCCCCAAGCUGGUCUCCUGGGUGGACACCCCAGAUGCUGGGAAGGGAUUUCCUGAGCCCGGGGAGUAGAAGCGAGAGGGCGGGCUGAGCCUGUGCACAGCCGGACCUUCUGGCUCCUUGUGUUUCCAGCCUUGAAAUGGAAUCGAUUCUCCAUUCUGGGCCACAGCUUCGGUGGCGUUAUGGGCGGAAUGUUUUCCUGCAUCUUCCCCGAGAUGGUGAAUAAACUUAUCUUGCUGGACUCGCCGCUGCUUCUCCUGGAAUCGAAUGUGAGAAGCAGGGCUUUCGUGCGUGCUGUCAUUAGGGAGGACCUGCACCCCGGGCAGUGCUCUCAGCCCUGUCUCCUUUGGUGGACACUAGGGAGGCAGGAGGAGGCGGCAGAGGGUGGGAAAGGGGAGUCAGGGACCCGCUCUCCACCAGAGGACAGCUCUCUGCUGCUUAUACCCCUAGGAGUGGUCAGGAGAAGGGGUGUGGGGGACCCCUUGGAAACUGGACGUGUGGCUUGGGAUCUGCAGAAUGCCAGGCUGAUCAUGCAGUGGCAGGGGUGGAAGAGGGCAGGAGCCAUGGCUGGAGGAUGUUGUAGGGCACACAGCUGGGCAGGCGCAGUGCACUCACACCCAGUCGAAUGCCUUUACACUGUGUACACGUUGCACCACCACACAUGACAGCCCUAAAAGUGAAUUGAUGGAACAAGUACUGACCUCUCUGGCCACGACUACCUAUAACCAGUACUGUCCCUGCAUCUGGGUCCUGGCCUGGUUGUUUACCUGCUGGGUGACCCUUGGCAAGUUACUUUGCCUCUCCGGGCCUUAGUUCCCGCUCCUGUAAAAUGAGGUUGGGCUGAAUGACGGCCAGCCCUGACAUCCUGUCAUUUUCUUGCCAAGGUCUCAGCCUCUCAGUUGUGACACAACUCCCAUCAGUUUCAGGUUU